UUUUGUUCCUAAACUAGCACUCAAAGUCAAAAGUCACAAAAAUAACACUUAAUGUUUUAUCAAAAGUCAUAAACUUAGGGUUUAGAGUUAAAGGGUGGAGUUUAGGAUUUAGGGUUUGGGGUUUAGGAUUUAGGGUUUAGGGUUUAGGCUUUAGAGUUUAGGGUUUAGGCUUUAGGCUUUAGGGUUUAAGGUUUAGAGUUUAGGGUUUAGGGUUUAGGGUUUAGGGUUUAGGGUUUAG
rnacentral:lncRNA from 1 species